rnacentral:rRNA from 1 species
CGGGAUAAUAUAUUUGAGAGGCAUCUCUUGAAUAUCAAAGGUGAGCCAGUACAGGAUGGACCCGCGUCUGAUUAGCUAGUUGGUAAGGUAACGGCUUACCAAGGCGACGAUCAGUAGCCGACCUGAGAGGGUGAUCGGCCACAUUGGAACUGAGACACGGUCCAAACUCCUACGGGAGGCAGCAGUGGGGAAUAUUGCACAAUGGGCGAAAGCCUGAUGCAGCAACGCCGCGUGAGUGAUGAAGGCCUUCGGGUCGUAAAACUCUGUCCUCAAGGAAGAUAAUGACGGUACUUGAGGAGGAAGCCCCGGCUAACUACGUGCCAGCAGCCGCGGUAAUACGUAGGGGGCUAGCGUUAUCCGGAUUUACUGGGCGUAAAGGGUGCGUAGGCGGUCUUUCAAGUCAGGAGUGAAAGGCUACGGCUCAACCGUAGUAAGCUCUUGAAACUGGGAGACUUGAGUGCAGGAGAGGAGAGUGGAAUUCCUAGUGUAGCGGUGAAAUGCGUAGAUAUUAGGAGGAACACCAGUUGCGAAGGCGGCUCUCUGGACUGUAACUGACGCUGAGGCACGAAAGCGUGGGGAGCAAACAGGAUUAGAUACCCUGGUAGUCCACGCUGUAAACGAUGAGUAC